GACGAACGCUGGCGGCGUGCUUAACACAUGCAAGUCGUACGGUAAGGCCCUUUCGGGGGUACACGAGUGGCGAACGGGUGAGUAACACGUGAGUAACCUGCCCACAACUUUGGGAUAACGCUAGGAAACUGGUGCUAAUACUGGAUAUGUGCUCCUGCUGCAUGGUGGGGGUUGGAAAGCUCCGGCGGUUGUGGAUGGACUCGCGGCCUAUCAGCUUGUUGGUGGGGUAGUGGCCUACCAAGGCGGCGACGGGUAGCCGGCCUGAGAGGGUGACCGGCCACAUUGGGACUGAGAUACGGCCCAGACUCCUACGGGAGGCAGCAGUGGGGAAUAUUGCACAAUGGGCGCAAGCCUGAUGCAGCAACGCCGCGUGCGGGAUAACGGCCUUCGGGUUGUAAACCGCUUUCAGCAGGGACGAAGCCUUUUGUGACGGUACCUGCAGAAGAAGCACCGGCUAACUACGUG
rnacentral:rRNA from 1 species